UUACACACACACACACACACACACACACACACACACACGCAUACAACUUACAGAGCCCACUUACUGUUGCUAUUAUGUAUGUGUUUAGGGCUGACCACUUAGGAUUGGAUAACCUCAGGAGGUUCAGACAGAGAGAAAACUGAUUUUCCCUCUUCAACACCCAUUACCUUGACUACCUGUAGCUGUUCGUCAUGGAUAGGGCCUUGUGAGGUUUCCCCAGAUUUACUGGCAUUUUGCCUGGUGUUGUCAUUAUGCAGGUCUUGUUUAAGUGACCAUACUAUGAAGAUUCAUGGGGGCAGCAUCUCCGUCGUGUCUAGAAGACACUAUUUCACAGCAGACGUUUUGGUCUUUGGUCUUUACAAUCUUUUUAUCUUCUCUUCCACAGUCUUCCCUGAGCCUUAGGUGUUGGGCUGUACUGUUCAAAUACUGAUUGGGGCUGGGCACCCCACAAUCACUUCUUCUCUUUUGACCAGUUGGGCAACUUUGCAGUAGCUCCAGAUAAAAUUCUUUGUGAGUUAUUAUCAGUAGAUGUUUGAUUUGUAUGCCCAUUUUAUGCCUUUUCGGGGCAGGAUCACGCGUAAAAUCUUUAGACGAAAGGGGGUUUCAAGGAGUAAAAGUUUUAUAAGCUCCGGUCUGGACACAAGCUGUCUUAUUCACAAGAGCACACACUAUCAACUGUCUGUUCAGAAAGGGUUCACUCCCUAAGGUGCGGUGGCUACGAAGGCCACCAGGAUGUUACAUUCUGCACACAUCCAUCCACGUCGUAACUACACUUGAUUUGCAACAGCAGCCUUCUAGGGCUACAGCUACAAUAGGCUCCAAGCUCUCUCCUUUGUCCCGCAUAGAUCAUUGUAAGGCCAUAUUGUCUUACUCCUCUGUGCAUCCCCAGAUCAUGGCCCAUGAUAACAAUUUACAUCAUGUCUUUUAAAAACUUAAAGUAGUUGUCAUAAUUUGCUUAUCCAUUACUCUGUUUCUGACCUAGUCCGGGACUGAACUGGUUCCUCCUAGUACUCCGAGAACUCAGCUGCCAAGUUCCUCCAUAUUGAAAUGUUCCCUGCUGGAGCGGGGAAGGAGCCGUGAGACUCAGGGAGUUAGCUAACCUUGCAAAUCUUGGAGACUGAAGAGCGCAAGGUUCCCAAGGCCUUCCCCAAUGUGAUAGAGGCAAUAAGAAGUCAUUGAGGAGGAGACCGACUUGCCUGGAGGAGGGGUGCCAAGCUGUCCAGCCAUUGACAGGUUAGCAGAGAGCUCCGGGGAUAUAGCUGUCAUGUGUUGCCACUGGCUGGGUGGUCAUUUUAGAGAGACAGCCAUUAAGCAGCCAUUCACCAAAACUCCCACAAGGAAUCCCAGGGAAUUCAUUACGUAUCAAGUUUGCCUUUGCCAGAAUCAGCUUUGGACUGUCAUUGUUUCCCUAUCUAGGGUGAAGGGACAUUCAUGUUGUCUCUCCCCGGAAAGCCCCACACAACAUUUGUUUAAAGAUCACUUCCUUAAGCACAGUUUCCUUGAUACUAUCAAGGUGUGCUUUCGCUGUUACCAUGGUAGUUCAGAGAGCACCUUAGCUCUCUACUUUAUGGCAAUGUUCAUUUCUUGAUUUUUAUGAUCUGAAAUAGCCAGCGAGGCCCAAGAGAUUGAGAAACACAGGUUCUCUCAUCUUUGGUGCUUCAAUAUAGUACACCUCAGUACACAUGCAAUAAACAUUUCGGGAAUAAAAGAAUUUUGAUUAAUAACAUUUGUGAGACUGAUCUUUCCAUUUCUCUAAUCCUCUACUGGCUACACAGUCACAUCUUGGCAAGUGGCUGGUAUAUUUUUGUUCCCGAAUACAACUCUUCCGAAAGGUUGCCAUCACUGGGUAUUUCUGUCACCUACUGUAUGGACAUGGUGUCUUGGUGAAUCAAAGUCAGGGUGUUUGCUGUAUGUGCAUGCACUAGAGUGCUCUGCGCUCUCUCUCUCUCUCUCUCUCUCUCUCUCUCUCUCUCUCUGCUUCUUCAGGGACUUUGGUUGAUAAAACAGUGGCUUCUUCCACCCGCCCUCCACUGCCCAGAACUGUCUUUUCCAGUUUCGGUAGGAAUGUGUCAGGCAGGUUCUUCAGAGUUUUCUCUCCAGGUAGGAACUCAGACGUUCUUCAGCAUUCUUUUCCUAAUUUAGAUGAACCACUAGAGGGGGCAGUGACGCUCCCUGUUGUACCUCAAUCUUAGGAUAGUAGGGUCAGACAGGCUUUGGGGACCUGGGGCAGACUUCUUCCAUCUGAUAAACCAAGGAACAGAGUGGAAACGGGAAAAACUUUUCCUAAGGCUACAGAGUCAGCUCUUGCUCUCCCCCAACCCCCACAGGAUUCUACAUGGAGCACACUCAUGCUGCCUCAGGGCCUUGAAGGGGGUACUACAGGUUAAACGGACAUGGCUCAUGUGUCACAAGGCUGAUUAACUCAUCCCGAAUUCCCUGGGCUGCCAGUGUGUUUAUCUAAGUGUAUUUUUUAAUGGUCCAUGGGUGGAGCGUGUGUGAGGGAGAGGAAGGAGAAGCAUGUGGUAAUGAAGGUUGUGCUGAGCCUCAACUUUUUUGGAAAAUGAGAUGUGGCGGCCUGUGAUGACUAUUGCCUUUUUUUCUUAGGUGUUAACGUCCUGUCACCCCUUUGCCAGUAACUACCCCCCUCACUUACAGAGGCAUGGGCCGGUGGUGAUGCUGGCUAACCAUAGCUCCCCCAUUCCUCCCUGACAGAGUGAUGGCUUAGGGGAGGGGAUGAACUUCAGGUGGGUCAAUGAGAGGCCUCCUUAGGGUCUUUGAACUCCUAAUCCUCCUGCCUCCAUCUCCCAAUGCUAGGAUUACAAGGGUGUGCCAGCAUGCUUACCAGAGAAGUCUUACUUAAAAGGUAUGUAAGGGAGCUCUGAAGAGACCCAGAGAGACGACCCAGGCAGAGGACAGAGCCCAGGUUCCGCUCCAUCUGCCCGGAGUCUGCCGCACCUCUUACAGUCUCCUAGUUGCCCUGAGUUAUGCCACCUAAUAACAAGCUUGUCAGUUCUUUCUUUUUUAUUCUUCAAAGAUAAUUUGACCCAGAUGCUUGUCAUUCACAGUGAAGAAUUUUGCCAUAACUCUACAGGUUGUUAGAAUUUACCAGAACUAGGUCUGAAAUUGAGUGGAUGGGUUGGAUGGACUGUCAUCACUGAGAAGGGGUCGUUUGAAUGUCACUGGCCUCCAUAAUCUCAUCGGGAGGGGCAGUAUUAGGAGGUGUGGCUUCGUUGGAGUGGGUGUGGCCUUGUUGGAGGAAGUGUGUCACUGUGGGGAUGGGUUUUAAGGUUUUCCUAUGCUCAGGAUAAUGCCCAGUGUCUCAACCGGCUUCCUGUGGCCUGCAAGAUAUAGAACUUUCAGCUACUACGCCAGCACCGUGUCUUCCUGCACACUGCUAUGUUCCCUGCCAUGUUGAUAGUGGACUGAACCUCUGAAACUGCACCAUGAUCUCCAGUUGUCCCAUAAUCCAAACCAGAUAAGCUGAAAUAGCUAAACAGAACAGAACAUGUAGCACCCGCAAACUACGCGUAACAGGAGAGAGCCACCAUCCUUCCAUUCCUGUUCGGAAAGUUCCAGCUAAGCCGAGUGUGCUCAUUUCUGAAAGUUCAGUGCACGGGAAGCUCUUCAGAAUGACGCUCAAAACCCUGCUUUGGAGCAGCAGCUCAGAGCCGUGACACCUAGAGCACUGGACUGCCUCUGAAGCUUCAGCUGAACCACAAAUGCAAGCCAAUGAAGACCUGCCUGACAGCAAUCCCUGGACACCCUGGAAAGAAAAUGGGCCACACC